rnacentral:rRNA from 1 species
AUGGGCGGGAGCCUGAACCAGCCAUCCCGCGUGCAGGAAGACGGCCCUAUGGGUUGUAAACUGCUUUUGUGCAGGAAGAAUGUACCCAUCGUGAUGGGUAGUGACGGUACUGCAUGAAUAAGCACCGGCUAACUCCGUGCCAGCAGCCGCGGUAAUACGGAGGGUGCAAGCGUUAUCCGGAUUUAUUGGGUUUAAAGGGUGCGUAGGCGGUGGGAUAAGUCAGUGGUGAAAAUCUGCAGCUCAACUGUAGGGGUGCCAUUGAAACUGUUUUACUUGAGUAACCAUGAGGUAGGCGGAAUGUGUAGUGUAGCGGUGAAAUGCUUAGAUAUUACACAGAACACCGAUUGCGUAGGCAGCUUACUAGCGGUUCACUGACGCUGAUGCACGAAAGCGUGGGGAUCAAACAGGAUUAGAUACCCUGGUAGUCCACGCCGUAAACGAUGAUAACUCGCUGUUGGCGAUACACAGUCAGCGGCUUAGCGAAAGCGUUAAGUUAUCCACCUGGGGAGUACGCUCGCAAGAGUGAAACUCAAAGGAAUUGACGGGGGCCCGCACAAGCGGAGGAACAUGUGGUUUAAUUCGAUGAUACGCGAGGAACCUUACCUGGGCUUAAAUGUGAGACGACCGCUGGUGAAAGCCGGCUUUCCGCAAGGACGACUUACAAGGUGCUGCAUGGUUGUCGUCAGCUCGUGCCGUGAGGUGUCGGGUUAAGUCCCAUAACGAGCGCAACCCUUAUCGUUAGUUGCCAGCGGGUCAAGCCGGGGACUCUAGCGAGACUGCCACCGUAAGGUGUGAGGAAGGUGGGGAUGACGUCAAAUCAGCACGGCCCUUAUGUCCAGGGCUACACACGUGUUACAAUGGCCGAUACAGAGGGCAGCUACCCCGCGAGGGGCCGCUAAUCCGGAAAAGUCGGUCUCAGUUCGGAUCGGAGUCUGCAACCCGACUCCGUGAAGCUGGAUUCGCUAGUAAUCGCAUAUCAGCCAUUAUGCGGUGAAUACGUUCCCGGGCCUUGUACACACCGCCCGUCAAACCAUGGGAGCCGAGGGUACCUGAAGUCUGUGACCGCCAAGGAGCGGCCUAGGGUAAAAUUGGUGACUAGGGUUAAGUCGUAACAAGGUAGCCGUACCGGAAGGUGUGGCUG